GAUGAACGCUGGCGGCGUGCCUAAUACAUGCAAGUCGAGCGAACAGACGAGGAGCUUGCUCCUCUGACGUUAGCGGCGGACGGGUGAGUAACACGUGGAUAACCUACCUAUAAGACUGGGAUAACUUCGGGAAACCGGAGCUAAUACCGGAUAAUAUAUUGAACCGCAUGGUUCAAUAGUGAAAGACGGUUUUGCUGUCACUUAUAGAUGGAUCCGCGCCGCAUUAGCUAGUUGGUAAGGUAACGGCUUACCAAGGCAACGAUGCGUAGCCGACCUGAGAGAGUGAUCGGCCACACUGGAACUGAGACAAGGUCCAGACUCCUAAGGGAGGCAGCAGUAGGGAAUCUUCCGCAAUGGGCGAAAGCCUGACGGAGCAACGCCGCGUGAGUGAUGAAGGUCUUCGGAUCGUAAAACUCUGUUAUUAGGGAAGAACAAAUGUGUAAGUAACUAUGCACGUCUUGACGGUACCUAAUCAGAAAGCCACGGCUAACUACGUG
rnacentral:rRNA from 1 species